UCUGACUAUUUUUGCAAGAUUUUUCUCAUAGAGUAUUAUUAACAGAAAAUGGGGCUGUUAUCAAGGUGACUAGGAAUGGUGCAUUCUCAGUUCAGGCUCUGAUGGAAUGUCUACUUGAUCUGGUGCAACUCCAGCUGUGCUCUUGGCUUUCCUCACUUUUGUGGUUCCGAGAAUGCAAAUAUUCUCCCAUGGCUUCCUUAUUUUGUCUUUCUCCAUGAGGUCUCAUUCAAGUAUAAACAUUCCCUUCAAUUUUCUCAACUCAUUUUAUAUUGUCUGAAUAACCUUGAUAAUUUUCCCUUUCCUAAAGCUAUAGACCUUCUUUUCGUGUGUAAGAACAGAUUACUCACAAAUAUUUACUGUCCGCUAAACAUUUAUGUGUAAUCGGUCCUUAAUUCUACACACAAAAUAUCAUCUCUACCAAUAUUUUACAACUAUAGUCUUUCUAUAGAGAACUAUGAAAGGAACUUGCUCUAAAGGAGAAACUUCCAGAGCUAAACCAAGGGUCUGACAAUUGUUAACAAUAUGUUAUUCAGUAAAAAUAUUUUUUCAGUUAACAGAGAAGAAUGCCAUGGACAAAAUGGCAAAACAGAACUUUUCAGCACUUAUUUCUUCACAGAAACAUCAAUUUGAACAGCCAUCCGUGCAUCAAAGUGUCUUCAAAAGAGACAAGGAAUCCAGGCUGGAGUGCAAUGGCGCGAUCUCGGCUCACCACAACCUCCGCCUCCUGGGUUCAGGCAAUUCUCCUGCCUCAGCCUCCUGAGUAGCUGGGAUUACAGGCACGCACCACCAUGCCCAGCUAAUUUUUGUAUUUUUAGUAGAGACGGGGUUUCACCAUGUUGACCAGGAUGGUCUCGAUCUCUUGACCUCGUGAUCCACCCGCCUCGGCCUCCCAAAGUGCUGGGAUUACAGGCGUGAGCCACCGCGCCCGGCCAGCCCGGGACCUCUUUGAGGGGUUUGCCCUGAGGGGCCCGUGAGCCAGAGCAGCCUGAGGGUGCGUCAGCCCGGAAGCUAAGCAGGGC
rnacentral:lncRNA from 1 species